UGUAGAUACUUACUAAGAGAGUCGAGC
rnacentral:piRNA from 1 species